rnacentral:rRNA from 1 species
UACAGAGGUGGCAAGCGUUGUUCGGAAUUACUGGGCGUAAAGGGCGCGUAGGCGGCCUGCUAAGUCGAGCGUGAAAUCCCUGGGCUCAACCCAGGAACUGCGUCCGAUACUGGUUGGCUUGAAUCCGGGAGAGGGACGUGGAAUUCCAGGUGUAGCGGUGAAAUGCGUAGAUAUCGUGAGGAACACCAGAGGCGAAGGCGGCUACCUGGACAAUUGCUGACACUCAGGCACGAAAGCGUGGGGAGCAAAAGGG